UCAAAACUGUCAAGCAUUUUACUUUGCACUCUUUAAAUAAUGAACUUGAUAUUUUUUUCUUAUACUCCGUCCAUUGUAUAAUAAUUUUUGGAAGUAAGUUUUAUUCACGACCUUCAUGUUCUAUUGCGUAAUGGUGUAUAUCCCUAUGCAUAUCGUUGUUCGUUCCAACUAUUUUCGAGAACAUAUAAUGUUUUCUUACAUUGAUAUUUUAGCGGACGUGAGUGCUUCUUUAUUAUGUAUUCAACUUUACUUAGAAUUUUUAAAUGGCUCAAUAACUCAACUGGCGAGUAUUAGAUUACUGCCUUUCAACUCUGGUACCGUAUAAUUGCCGUAUUUGAUUUUUUUCCCAAAUUUGCGUUGUAACGGUUUUUUACAUUUUUUAGCUGGUGAGAAUUUUGAAAUGGCUAGUUGAGUAAAAUGAUGACAUUUUUUUAAGCACGCAGAUGAGCAAUUUCUUUAAAAAAAAACAAUUGAUUGUUUUGAAAGGUAACCCGUUAAAAUCAUGCUUGAACAGAGCUUUUAAAAACUAUUUCAUCCCAAAAUAUAGGAUGAACUUCAAAUCGAGAAAAUUGGGAAAAAAGUAAAUUAAUGAAAUACAAAAUUCAUUCGUUUUCAUUAGGCAGAGGUCGACAGCGUAAUCCGAGCUCUUCAAUGGUGUUUGUCACUUCAACUUGUGUGUUUAUUAAGUUCGCUAUAGACAUUUGAAAUUGGACAACUUCCAAUUCAAGCUUUUCAAUUUCGAUAAUUUCUUUGUUUAUUUCGGUACGUGAAAGCCUUUGCAAAUAUCUUAGAUAAUACUUUGGUAUAAUAUUUUCUUUUUUUGGAUUAUUCUCAACAAUUAAUGUAGCGAGGCUGAAUAGAAGCUCGUUGUCAUUGGAAAAGUCUGGAUAAUUGUAGUUUUCUUUGUCAUUUCGUUUAGUAGUUCUCCUUCCUUUUAAUGCUUUUUCUGAUUCCCCUUGAAUCCAUCCUUUCAAAUUCCUAUCAAGUAGUCGAUUUUGUUGAAACCUAGAGUUAGAGUAAUCUCUCAAGUCCACAAUAUUGUUAAGCUCUUGCAUAUCAUUAAAGCAAUCAGAAGACUCGGAAGAUGCAACUGCAGGUUCUUUCACAUCGCAAACCUCCCCUUCUCUUUUGGAGUUACAAGUUUGAAGAAGGUUAUCUUUUAAAACUUCAGAGGCUUUUUUUUCAAAAAUCUUUGCCAGUCUUGUAGGCAAGAAUUGCACUGUUGUCUUAAAAAUUGCUUUAAUUCCGCGACGAAUACAAUAAAUAAAUUCCGCCCAGCACAACCGACGAUUAUGAAUAUGCCUAGCGAACGAAAAAAAGGAAAGUUCUUUUGAUAAAAUACUUAGAUUGUUUCGGAACGCGGAAACAUUAGGAACUGAGUUUCGAAUCUUAGAUAACAGUUGAAAGACUGAAUUAUGGGAUUGCGGUGGCUCUCUCUCGGAUUCACGUAUAUAAAUUUUCGUCAAAAAAAUAUUGACUUCCUUCUGCAAACUUUCUUCUGUAAUAUAUAGUUUUGUCUUUUGAUCGAAAUUAUCUUGUGACAUGCCUUCGACUUUAAAAUCUCGAGCUAAGAAGUCCAGUGAAUCGCUGUUUAAACGUAAUGAAGGACCAUCUUCUUCAAAAAAAUUCAAUGACAAGCCGCGCUUACAUUUGUCUUCACAGGGCUCCAUUUAUAAUGAGUAAUCAAUCCCAGAAUGCAGAUUUAAAAAUUAAUUAACUUCGGUAUUCUUUAGAAUUAUUUUAUAUCAUCUUUUUUUAAGCCUGCUUUGAUAAUUUUUAAAACAGAAUGGUUAAAAGAUGGUUUGUUUGCGGCGGUCAUUUUGACCUUGACAUGCGUUUGUUUACUCUCC